UUCAAAAGUAAAAGCAGAUGUUCAAAAUAUAAGCGGUGAACUUAUUGUUUCCGGGCUGGAUAGUGCUACAUCGUUAAUUCAAGCGGCUAAAAAUAUAAUGAACGCCGUUGUAUUAACGGUAAAGUACUCAUAUGUGGCAUCAACAAAAUAUACAAGGCAAGGAACUGUGUCUUCCCCAAUUGUAGUAUGGAAAAU
rnacentral:sRNA from 1 species